rnacentral:rRNA from 1 species
UACAGAGGUCUCAAGCGUUGUUCGGAUUCAUUGGGCGUAAAGGGUGCGUAGGUGGCGCCAUAAGUCAGGUGUGAAAUCUCGGGGCUUAACCCCGAAACUGCACUUGAUACUGUGGUGCUCGAGUACUGGAGAGGAGAUUGGAAUUUACGGUGUAGCAGUGAAAUGCGUAGAUAUCGUAAGGAAGACCAGUGGCGAAGGCGAAUCUCUGGACAGUUACUGACACUGAGGCACGAAGGCCAGGGGAGCAAACGGG